ACAAAAUUAACCAAUCCUUCCGCCAUCAUACCAAUCAAAAAAUGAAAGCUAGUCCACACAAAAGUAUUGACAAUUGGAACAACAAAACAAAAAGUACCGUUAUUUUUUAUUUUUUAACUAUAAUUUCAUCAAAUUAAAUUUCAUACGAUAUAGUACAGCAUUGCAAAUUUAGGAACUGGGAACAACAACACAAAAAGAGCGGGGAAGAAGCACUACUGAAGGUCAUUAUUGUGUUGGAUCAACUACUUCAAUUGGAGCAUUCUGGUAUGCUUGAUCCUCGGAGGCAAAGAUGAUGACGAUCAGCAAGUCAAUGUCCUCGAUCGUCAAAUCACUGGAGUCUUCACUUAACACAGGGAAUCUACAGAAGAUGUCGGAGACGACGGAUUCAUUCGAGCGACAAUUUGUGAAUAUGGAGGUUCAAGCUUAGUUUAUGGAGAGUUCUAUGGCUGGAACUACUUCCUUAUCGACUCCAGAAGACCAGGUCGGCAGCUCAAUGCAACACUCGAGGUGUCUGUGGGGCUUCCUCAACCAGCUGCAAUAGGUACAAGGAGCUAAUAAAAUCCAAGUAGCGGUCAACACUGUUUACAUGGGCAUGGAAAUUCCAGCUGAAUAAACUAACUAAGCAACUGGCUAUAAAAACAAUAAGAAUUGAAAUUCCAUCAAAGCAUCUGUGAUUCCUUCUGUUCAAAAAUUGCUGGUGGAGUCACUUUCAAGAUCUUCUCGAUGGUUCUGUCAACUCUCCAAAAAAACCAGCUUACAUAUGCAUCUUUAAUUAAUCGAUAAAGGCAUGGCCUAUUGAAGACCACACAUAAGAGUAGAAAAGCUUAUCAACCAUCAUAACUAUUUGCCUGGCCUGCUAAUAUUGUUGCUCCACUUUUAUAAACAUGAUACCGGAAUGUCUCACUAUUUCCUCCAAAUUGAAAGUCAUAUAUAUCCUGUUUUAUCUGGUUUUUGGCUUCUCUCUUAGAGCAAACUUAUGGUUGAGAGAUUGGUCUCCUGACAUACUAUAGAUUAUUUAACUAUGAAUCAAUCACAUUUACUUGGCGAUGAUUUUUACUGCAAACAAUUCAACUGGCAGACAAGUUGAGUGAAUCUUUUUUUCCUUUUGUUAAUCCAAAAGAGAACCUGUAGAAGUAUGACCAAAUAGGUAUGAACAUUUUAUAUCAAUUUGAAUUGAAGAAGGUUGUCUCUCAUUCUCCAACCAAAUCACCAAAUACUUUCCUCAUGGGAAUU